AUUUUUUUUGUUUGGAAAAAGUUUAUACAUGGUUGCAACCUUAAAAUGUAGAAAUAAAGAUGUACCUAAAAAAUCCAUUGAAAAGGUUAUUUUAAUGUUGAAAAAUCCUCUAAUUGAUCAUCUCGACACCGAGAUGUAUGAAAAUGAAGAAAGGAAAAAUGAUUUCGAGUCCUAGAAAUAAUGUAUCUAGCAACACAUUAUCUAGACCGUCCAUUUUCAAGAUUUUCAUAUAUUUAUGGAUCUACCUAAUUUUAACCAUUUUUAGAGUUUAAAAUUUUAUAAUUAGAUAUCAAAAUAGAUUUUCAGGUAAUCCUAAGAAUUUUUUACACCACAAUUACAUGUUAUGAUAAAAAACCACAGCCCUUUUGUUUUGAAGUGUGCUAUUAGAUACGCUUUGAAGAGCUAAUAGUACGGAUGAUCGUAUGUAACCAUAUUUUUUUAUAUGGAAAAGGUUUAUAUAAGGUUUAAUGGGGGAUCUUAAGUUGAAUAUAAAAGAAUGGAUACAGAACAACUAAAGAGGAUUGCUUGCAAUAACUCUCAUAGGGAAUAUCUGUGUAUACAGCUUUAUUGUUUUUCUUGGACAAGCAAUUCCGAAGUAUUUAGGUGGAUGCCUUGCUAAUUACAUUAAUUAUCUCAUACAAUAGAGAUACGAAAUGCAUUUAUUUAAUCAAUAACAUAUUUAUUCACCACAAGACUACAGACCAACGGGUCUUUCUUUUUUUCCACAGAGAGUAUAUAUACUGUUGUCUCUCUUUCUUUCUUCAUUUUUUUUCUCCUUGCCAGCUAUUUAUUUGUAUUUUUGUUGUGUAUUUAUAGCUGUCAAACAUUUUGGUUAAGUGGUUCACAAUUAUGUCUGGCAGUUGCAGUGGAGUGCAUGUAGUGGUCAUCGUAUCUUGUUUUAGUAUCGAC
rnacentral:lncRNA from 1 species